rnacentral:rRNA from 1 species
UACGGAGGAUGCAAGCGUUAUCCGGAAUGAUUGGGCGUAAAGGGUCCGCAGGUGGCAGUGUAAGUCUGCUGUCAAAGACCGGGGCUUAACUUCGGAAAGGCAGUGGAAACUGAACAGCUAGAGUAUGGUAGGGGCAGAGGGAAUUCCUGGUGUAGCGGUGAAAUGCGUAGAGAUCAGGAAGAACACCGGUGGCGAAGGCGGCUCACUGGCCCGGUACUGACGCUGAGGUGCGAAAGCGUGGGGAGCAAACAGG